UACGUAGGGCGCGAGCGUUGUCCGGAAUUAUUGGGCGUAAAGAGCUCGUAGGCGGCCUGUUGCGUCCGCUGUGAAAUCCCGAGGCUCAACCUCGGGCCUGCAGUGGGUACGGGGCAGACUAGAGUGCGGUAGGGGAGAUUGGAAUUCCCGGUGUAGUGGUGGAAUGCGUAGAGUAUCGGGAGGAACACCAGUGGCGAAGGCGGUUGCCUGGGGCUUUGCUGACGCUGGAUGCGCGAAAGCGUGGGGAGCGAUCCGG
rnacentral:rRNA from 1 species